UGGGGCGUAGCCAAGCGGUAAGGCGACGGGUUUUGGUCCCGCUAUUCGGAGGUUCGAAUCCUUCCGUCCCAG
rnacentral:tRNA from 1 species